UAGGGAAUCUUCCGCAAUGGGCGAAAGCUUGACGGAGCAACGCCGCGUGAGUGAUGAAGGUCUUCGGAUCGUAAAACUCUGUUAUUAGGGAAGAACAAAUGUGUAAGUAACUAUGCACGUCUUGACGGUACCUAAUCAGAAAGCCACGGCUAACUACGUGCCAGCAGCCGCGGUAAUACGUAGGUGGCAAGCGUUAUCCGGAAUUAUUGGGCGUAAAGCGCGCGUAGGCGGUUUUUUAAGUCUGAUGUGAAAGCCCACGGCUCAACCGUGGAGGGUCAUUGGAAACGGGAGAACUUGAGUGCAGAAGAGGAAAGUGGAAUUCCAUGUGUAGCGGUGAAAUGCGCAGAGAUAUGGAGGAACACCAGUGGCGAAGGCGACUUUCUGGUCUGUAACUGACGCUGAUGUGCGAAAGCGUGGGGAUCAAACAGG
rnacentral:rRNA from 1 species